GCCUGGGUGGCUCAGUUGGUUGAGCAUGGGACUUCGGCUCCCAGUUCGUGGGUUCGAGCCCCGCCUCAGGCU